AACGGACGCUGGCGGCAGGCUUAACACAUGCAAGUCGAGCGCCCCGCAAGGGGAGCGGCAGACGGGUGAGUAACGCGUGGGAAUCUACCCAUCUCUACGGAAUAACGCAUGGAAACGUGUGCUAAUACCGUAUACGUCCUUCGGGAGAAAGAUUUAUCGGAGAUGGAUGAGCCCGCGUUGGAUUAGCUAGUUGGUGGGGUAAAGGCCUACCAAGGCGACGAUCCAUAGCUGGUCUGAGAGGAUGAUCAGCCACACUGGGACUGAGACACGGCCCAGACUCCUACGGGAGGCAGCAGUGGGGAAUAUUGGACAAUGGGCGCAAGCCUGAUCCAGCCAUGCCGCGUGAGUGAUGAAGGCACUAGGGUUGUAAAGCUCUUUCACCGGUGAAGAUAAUGACGGUAACCGGAGAAGAAGCCCCGGCUAACUUCGUGCCAGCAGCCGCAGUAACAC
rnacentral:rRNA from 1 species